rnacentral:lncRNA from 1 species
CAGGAUGAAGGAUCUUAAGGAAACUCGGAAAUUCCUAAGGAAAGCUCAGAUGAGCAUUUGAAGAACUUCCUUUGUGAAGUAGGUAACAAGAGGGUUUUAUAUAGGCAGCACUUAACGGCCAUUCCGACAGGUAGAAGCAGAUUUUUCCAUUUGAACUGCCAUCACCCGAAUUCCUUCGUACCAUCUGGAAAUAGAAGAGGCUUGGCAGGAACCGGGGAAUGAUCGCAUUGUUGUAACCAUAGGAGACUGAUUCUGGACUACUUGGCGUAAUACCUGCCCAGAGUAGCAGAUCAAUUUUUGGGAGAGACGAUUUUCUAAGACAACAUGCAUCACCGUGAAAUUAUCAAUAGGCAAGUGGAGAAUUCCUUGGCAUCAAUAGCUUUAUUUUACGUAUUGGUCCUAGUUCUGCGUGUUUUCAUCUGUUAGUUGGGUCGGAUGGGAUAUUGUAUAUGCUGAGGAAUGUGGUACCUCGGGAGAUCAGCUCAAUUCCAUGCGAGGUGCAAAGAAUUUCCGGAAGCCUGGAGAGCCGGCUAGCAUGCUUCUUGUAGCCUGAUUAGAAUUUCACAGAAUUUGAAACCAGAGAGCUGGCGUUCACUGAGCAACCAAGCCAGCGUCCAGCCACAGUUAUGCGAUAUGUGAUUAGCUGCAAUGCCGAGAGUUUGUUUCUCAAUAUGCCGGCCCGCGGUGAAAUCCAACAAUAUCUGAACUUGAAUUCGAAUAGGCAGCAAAACCAAACAAAGCCAGCACCAGCUUUGAGAACUUCAGCUGCGUGAUCGAGACCCAAAUGGGCUGGUUUGCGGCCGAUCCCUUGAUACGAGGUAGAGCCUACUCCAGGUUGGCCUCCAAUGUAACUGCUUCAUUGGCACUGCAAGAGUGUUGUUGUACAGCAUGAUAGAUUAGCCCUCUGACCCUGUCAUAGGAGCGAAUGUCUUGAAAUUUGUUCGUAUUCUGAGACGAUAGGUAGCAUUCUUCAUCCUCAGAUAUUCCAGGGACAUCGGUGUACUUGUUCAUCACAUCUCAUUGCCUCAACUCGACAGUGUACGUGUAUUCUCAUAUGUACUCCCGCGAG